UUCCCUACGGGACGCAGCAGUGAGGAAUAUUGGUCAAUGGGCUUACGCCUGAACCAGCCAAGUCGCGUGAGGGAAGACUGCCCUAUGGGUUGUAAACCUCUUUUGUCGGGGAGCAACGAGGCCACGUGUGGCCGAAGUGAGAGUACCCGAAGAAAAAGCAUCGGCUAACUCCGUGCCAGCAGCCGCGGUAAUAUGGAGGAUGCGAGCGUUAUCCGGAUUUAUUGGGUUUAAAGGGUGCGUAGGCGGAACAUUAAGUCAGCGGUAAAAUCGAGGGGCUCAACCCCUUUAAGCCGUUGAAACUGGUG
rnacentral:rRNA from 1 species